AUAAGUCUCGUGGUCAAAAGGGAAACAGCCCAGAUCUACAGCUAAGGUCCCAAAUAGAUGCUAAGUGGAAAAUGAUGUGAAACUGCGAAAACAACCAGGAUGUUGGCUUAGAAGCAGCCACUCAUUUAAAGAGUGCGUAAUAGCUCACUGGUCGAGUGAUGGUGCGCCGAAGAUUACCGGGGCUAAAACUUGUCACCGAAGUUUAGGGAUGCAGUUUACUGCAUCGGUAGAGGAGCAAUGUAUGCGGGCAGAAGCGAUAUCGUAAGGGGUCGUGGACUGCAUACAAGAGAGAAUGCCGGCAUAAGUAGCGCGAGCAAAGUGAGAAUCUUUGCCGUCGAAUGCCUAAGGUUUCCUGGGGAAGGUUCGUCCUCCCAGGGUAAGUCGGGACCUAAGCCGAGGCCGAAAGGCGUAGGUGAUGGACAACAGGUAGAUAUUCCUGUACCGCCAAAUGACGCUUAAAUGAGGCAAUGACACAGUAGGAUAGUCAAUCCGCGGCGUUGGAUUGCUGCGGCCAAAUCAUGAGGCUGAUGUGUAGUGAAGUACGCACAUCGUCAGGCUAGGUGAUGAUGGGGAGUGAAAACUAGUAACGAAGUCGAUGAAUUCACGCUGGCGAGAAAAGUUGCUAAAUGGAUAGAGGCGCCCGUACCGCAAACCGACACAGGUAGACGAGGAGAAAAUCCUAAGACUGGCGAGAGAAUCAUUGUUAAGGAACUCUGCAAAAUGACCCCGUAACUUCGGGAUAAGGGGUGCCUGCGCGAGCAGGUCACAGAAAAGAGGCCCAAGCAACUGUUUACCAAAAACACAGGUCUCUGCUAAAUCGAAAGAUGACGUAUAGGGGCUGACACCUGCCCGGUGCCGGAAGGUUAAGAGGAGAAGUGAGAGCUUUGAAUUGAAGCCCCGGUAAACGGCGGCCGUAACUAUAACGGUCCUAAGGUAGCGAAAUUCCUUGUCGGGUAAGUUCCGACCCGCACGAAUGGCGUAAUGAUUUGGGCGCUGUCUCAACAGUGAACUCGGUGAAAUUGUAGUAUAUGUGAAGAUGCAUAUUACCCGCGACUGGACGGAGAGACCCCGUAGAGCUUUACUGCAGCUUGAUAUUGAAUUUCGGUAAUUGAUGCACAGGAUAGGUGGGAGGCUGAGAAGUCGGCGCUUCGGCGUCGGCGGAGCCAACCUUGGGAUACCACCCUUUGAUUAUUGAGGUUCUCACUUUGCGCCGUGAUCCGGGCGAAGGACAGUGUCAGGUGGACAGUUUGACUGGGGCGGUCGCCUCCUAAAAUGUAACGGAGGCGCUCAAAGGUUCUCUCAGAAUGGUUGGAAACCAUUCGCAGAGCGUAAAGGCAUAAGAGAGCUUAACUGAGAGACAGACAUGUCGACCAGAUACGAAAGUAGGACUUAGUGAUCCGGCGGUAGAGAAUGGAAUUGCCGUCGCUUAACGGAUAAAAGUUACCUCGGGGAUAACAGGCUGAUCUCCCCCAAGAGUUCACAUCGACGGGGAGGUUUGGCACCUCGAUGUCGGCUCG
rnacentral:rRNA from 1 species